rnacentral:rRNA from 1 species
AGCGUAGACGGCUUUGCAAGUCUGACGUGAAAAUCCGGGGCUCAACCCCGGAACUGCGUUGGAAACUGUGAGGCUUGAGUGCCGGAGAGGUAAGCGGAAUUCCUAGUGUAGCGGUGAAAUGCGUAGAUAUUAGGAGGAACACCAGUGGCGAAGGCGGCUUACUGGACGGUAACUGACGUUGAGGCUCGAAAGCGUGGGGAGCAAACA